GGAUCAAUUUACUGGUCGUGCCUAUGGUACGUACUGGUGUUACUGGUUCCUACCUUCUGACGAACUGUCAUGUCAUUAAUUUGGUGUGGCGGGGAAUCAGAACUGUUACUUUGAAAAAAUUAGAGUGUUUAAAGCAGGCUCGCGCUUGAAUACAUUAGCAUGGAAUAAUGAAAUAGGACGUUCGACCCUAUUUUGUUGGUUUCUAGGAUUGACGUA
rnacentral:rRNA from 1 species